rnacentral:rRNA from 1 species
GACGAACGCUGGCGGCGUGCCUAAUACAUGCAAGUCGAACGCAGUGGGGACGGGUGAGUAACACGUGGGUAACCUCCCAUCAGAGGGGAUAAACCUUGGAAACAGGUGCUAAACCGAUACUGAUGGAUGGACCCGCGGUGCAUUAGCUAGUCGGUGAGGUAACGGCAUACCAAGGCCACGAUGCAUAGCCGGCCUGAUAGGGUGAUCAGCCACACUGUGACUGAGACACGGCCCAGACUCCUACGGGAGGCAGCAGUGGGGAAUCUUCGGCAAUGGACGAAAGUCUGACCGAGCAACGCCGCGUGGGUGAAGAAGGUUUUCGGAUCGUAAAGCUCUGUUGGUAGGGAGGCGUUAUCUAACCAGGAAGCCACGGCUAACUCCGUGCCAGCAGCCGCGGUAAUAC